AGUGUUUUUGAGUGUUGAUCAGAGAGAGAAAGGAGAUGGCACAAUACGGUAACCAAGACCAAAUGCGCCAGACUGAUGAAUAUGGAAACCGCGUCCAAGAAACUGGGGGCAUGGGAACUGGAGGCUAUGGAACUCACCAAGGUACUGGUAUGGGGGGCAUGGGUGCCACUGGUGGUAUGGGAGACACUGGUGGAAUGGGGGCCAUGGGUGGAGGUACUGGCACUGGAAUGGGUAUGGGCACUGGUGGAACUCACGGCACUGGUACGGGCAUGGGUAUGGGUAUGGGUACUGGUCACCAUGAGGGACAACAGCAGCUUCGUCGAUCCGACAGCUCUAGCUCU
rnacentral:lncRNA from 1 species